GCGACUGGGUGACUUUAUUCACCCGCUUCGGCUGUUACCAGUCCAUACAAUGGGCGUUAUUAGCAGAAAUCAGUCCCAUCGAUAUGGGCCAUCCACCUGCUAGAUUGUUCAGAAGGUUGUUAUCAUCCAUCCAGAUGGAGGAUCACUAACAGGAGCGUGGAAGACUCCAGAAUCCACUCUGGCUGGAAUCCGGUGGAUACAGCAGUGUUACAGAACAGUUCUCCACAGUCGCUGUCCACAUGGGUCAGUGGGACCAAGCAGCACUCUGCUAAUGUGAGACUCUGACCAGCAACAUCCAGCAAGACCCAGGCAGCGUUUUCUAUCUCCCAGCUGGAGUUUUUUGUUUGUCUGUGACUGGAGAGUCAGAUUUUUGUUGAAGCUGGAGGAACAGCCUCACACUCGCAGAGGUUAAUACACGCUACUGAUCCCUGAUGGGAGAAUCAUCACCUCUGCCAACAAAGAAGCCUGGUGGAUGUUUGUUUACAGACUGAUGAUGGGACAUCAUGCUCCACAUCUUCAAAGUUUGUCUCUUGAUUAUUAUUCAUACACAGUAAUGUGAAGUAUGCUUAUAUCUAGUAUAACUGGACCAACCUGGUGCUCUUCAUUUAUGGAGGCUGUUGAGUCUGAAUGUUGGAUGUUGUGUAUCUCGUGUUCUCUGGGCUUUGUUGUCCUCAGUCUUUUUGCAGGAUCAGAAAACAAAACCAGGAUGACCGUAAAUGUUUCUUCUCCAAUUGGAUGAUGAUAAGACUGUGACACUGAAUGCCACCUUUAGUCUUGUGAUGAAGCAAAGCUCAGGAAGAAGUAUGAUUAAAUGGUACCCACAUGUGUGCUGCUGAGAAGGAUGUACAGGGGCACCUGCAGCCAAAUCCAAGCCUCCUCAGAGCAGAGCGGCCGUUUGUGCUCACAGAUGGUGACGGUGUGGAGAGAAGGUGGUGUUUCCUCAGAAGAACUAGCAGAGUCACAAAGAGCACCAGUCCAUCUCACCACCUUGACUUGCUGACUGAUGCUCGUCUGCACUGCACAGAGGAAAUCAACUGACCGAGGAGUGUUUCUGGGUGAGGGAGAGAGGAGUCAUCAUCCAGGUAAAGUGACGUGGAUCAGUGGAUACACUUGUCUCCCCUUUAAAGGAGAUACUCUUAGAGAGAGAUGAUCCGAGUCAUCCUUAAAUAUGGGCAGGAUAUCAGUCUUGGACUGUCCAACCUGCCGGAGCAGCACUGAAUGAUCACCAGACAUGAGCAUGUUCCUGCAACAUUCAGCAGCUUUGCUUUUGUGUCAAAUGUCAAACAGCUGGAGAACAAACUAAACCAGUGUACUGGGAUGUUUCAACAACACAUGCCAGAUGCUGUUCCUUCAUGGUGACAUCACCAGAGACGGCCCCGCCCACCUCAGGACCUCGCCAUUGAUCAUGAUGAUUAUAAUGAUGACAGCGAGCAGAACUAAGACUGUAAAAAUCCACGACCAGAAUGUUUAGAUGCUUUCUAAUUAUUAAUGAAUACUGAGAGCCUCUUUCUGUGUUUUGUCUGUUUUGUUUUUUGUUUUUUUUACCUCAUUUGUUACUAACAAAGUUCACCAAACUCACACAGUUUACAUUCUGCAUGUUUCCAUCUUUGCAGCCACACUCUACCUACAUUUAGAAAAUAAUCCUUAGAAAUCGUCGUUUUUCUCUUUUGUAAUUGAUGAUAAUUCAGUGAAUAUACUGCGCUGCUUCCUGUUAUUGCCUUUUAUUGCGUUAUUUUUUACUGCUGUUUGAAUUCUCUGUGUGUUUGACCCUGUAGACGGUUUGAUGGACUGCUUGUCUUCCUGUUUGUAACUGCCGCCUGUUUUUGACUAAAGAUUUGGAUUUCUGACUUUAACACAGCCUCUGCGUGUCCUCCCUUUGUGUCCUCUUCCUCUGUGAAUGUGUUGCAUGUGUCACAGAUUCAUUUUAUUAACAGCUUUCCCACAGUG